UGCUAAACACACUCUAGUGCUAACUUCCGCUUCGUCGUGCCUUUCUUCCGUCAACAUCCGCUGCUGUAUGGCUGCUAUCUUCGAGUGAUUCGCGCUGCUGUUGCACGUGGAAAGGCGCGGGAGGUGUAAAUAUUAUAGCGUAAAUGCUGGACUCAAUUGCAACAUAUUGAGUGUGUCUGUGCCGCUAUGCCUGUGUGAAUGUCCCCUGCAAGAGACUGUAACAUCCUUGCGCGUUUCGUGACCUGUCAUUUAAGCUGCAAGACCACAGUGGCAAGGAAGCGAGCUGACUGCGCAAAAGCUGCACGGAUUCACAAGUUCCAGAUCGACCCACACCCUAUAGUGAAAAUGCCGACGCACUGCUGUGUCCCCUAAUGUAAGCAGCGAGGACCCAAGGAUCCAGGCAGGAACAAGGUGCGUGGUUAUUACUUUCACACCCAUGUAAUCCAUGCCUAGGAGGUAUAGGACACACUGGACGUACCGUUAUAAAUAGUCGUCCCUUGGAAAAACAAGAAAUAACCUUUAGUUACUUAUAAACGACAAGACCUGUUAGAGAAGUAACAUGCUGUAUUUUCCUGAUGUUAGUAAAAGUUUCCAAAGGCUUGCUUUUCUUUUUGCGUCAACCCCAUGGUGUUAUUGCGUAUACAGCUGCAUGACCCUUCUUUCUUUAUAUAUCCAAUGGCCAUGACAGCAGCCUUGUCGUUAGAGCAAAUUCGGUGAAUGUGCAAAGGCUGUAAAUAUUAGGGUACAUUGCGCUUGCUCUUGUUGGCCUGUGGUCCCAAGGACAUUAAUGCCGAGCUUUUCUCAGGUACAGGCCAAGCCUCGCGCCGCGAGAGAGAUGCGGGACAGUGCAGAUAAAGCGAUGGGCACACAUUCUCGUGCCACUGGCACACGGGCACUUAACGAUCGUGAUCAGUGAUCACUCUUACAUGGUCCAACUAACCUCAUUUAGUCUGCCGAGUUCUAGCACACCACACGACGGCCUAUGGUCGCGGCUGAUUGCAAUUUGUUUAUUCCAUAUCGAGAAGAAUCGCGAUCGAAUGUGUCCACGUGAUGGAUAUGCAUAUCGACCACAACAGCCCGGUUACAAACGCUUGCACGGUUCUGGUACAACUGUUUAUUAUCAGGCGAAGUAUAUUUAAAUAUCACCCGCAGGUCACAAUAUUCAUGUAUUGCGUAUACGGGUUAUUAAUGUUUUGUUGAUGCAGGUUUUAACUGCAUGUAUACCUCUUGAAACUUGCGAGUUUCAUCUCAUCGGUUACCAAGAGAUGGCACGUUAUACAAAAAGUGGAUCAUCGCCAUCAAGCACGAUGAAGGGAAAUGCUUCAAGGUGAGAAAAUGCACAAGAGUGUGUUCAGGGCAUUUCCUGCCAUCAGACUUUAUUCCCAGUGUAUCCUGUGGCAACAGCUUGCCCCAGUGUGUUCAGCUUUGGUAAAAUGCCACAGCUUUGCAAGCCACCAAAGAAGCGAACAUCGAGUGCCUGUGCGCAAGCACAUCAGAUUCCAGAUCAAGCUGCUGCUGAAGUGUUGACCGUAGAACAGUGAUGCAAUAUUCAGGGUGUCUACCAACCGGGAAAACCGGGAAUUCUCAGGCAUUUUGAGUAGUCUGGGAAAACUCGGGGAAUUUGUGCCUCUAUCAGGGAAAAUUAGCUGUCAUCUUAUUGAAA